ACUCAUCAAGCCCUGCCUAUAAAGGAAGCAGGAAGUUAAGGGUUCCUUCUUUCAUCUUCAAGGCUGCACACAGCAGGCAGCAACAGAAAUUUUUCACUCCUUAUUCAAUCUGGUGAAUAAAUGAAAAGAGGAGUUUGUCUGACUGUCAACCUACGAGCACCAAACACGUGGAGGACUGUACACACACCUGUGGAGGAUGUAGAGGACCAUCUCUUUGCUUCCUGCACUGGCAGCGUGAUGACGUAACCUGCAGCCGGACGAGUCGAGUGACGGGCAGCCUGAC